GACGAACGCUGGCGGCGUGCUUAACACAUGCAAGUUGAACGGGGAUAUUGUUUUCGGACGAUAUCCUAGUAGCGGACGGGUGAGUAACGCGUGAGCAACCUACCUUUGUGAGGGGGACAACAGCUGGAAACGGCUGCUAAUACCGCAUAAGGCCACGACCUCGAUUGAGGAUGUGGUAAAAGAUUUAUCGCACAAAGAUGGGCUCGCGUCCCAUUAGCUAGUUGGUGAGGUAACGGCCCACCAAGGCGACGAUGGGUAGCCGACCUGAGAGGGUGAUCGGCCACACUGGAACUGAGACACGGUCCAGACUCCUACGGGAGGCUG
rnacentral:rRNA from 1 species